UACGAAGGGGGCUAGCGUUGCUCGGAAUCACUGGGCGUAAAGCGCACGUAGGCGGACUCUUAAGUCGGUGGUGAAAUCCUGGAGCUCAACUCCAGAACUGCCUUCGAUACUGAGAGUCUCGAGUCCGGAAGAGGUGAGUGGAAUUCCUAGUUGUAGAGGUGAAAUUCGUAGAUAUUAGGAAGAACACCAGUGGCGAAGGCGGCUCACUGGCCCGGUACUGACGCUGAGG
rnacentral:rRNA from 1 species